rnacentral:lncRNA from 1 species
AGUACUACUUUCUAAUAUGUAUCGGAUAUGUUCAAGGCAUGCAAUAUGUAGCACUAAUGUAUCUUAGAACAUCAUGUCACAUGCAUCAACGACUAACAAACAUCUAUAAUAUGAUACGCUGAAUCAGAUUUGCAAUAAUGGAACUCCUUGUUAAAUUGAAGUACUUUAUAAACUUGCAAAGCUAAGACCUCCUCUUAGGAUGUGAUUGAUAUCAUUAUCAAAGAGAUACUUCAUAAUCAUGCAGAUUCAAAUAUUUGGUGAUGCACCACCUAAGACUCGAACCCAAAGACCCAAGACUCAAAUCCAAAAUAUCUGGUUGCUAAGUAGAGGGGUGUAAUCAUUGGGACAAGCCCCAAUUGACUAUAAAAAUGUAGACUUGAGAUUCCCAAAACAAUAAAUUACAGGUCAUCAAUGACAAAUUCGCCUCCCUCCCAAUAUGGGAGUGCAUACUAAAAAAACAAAUUACCGUUGCAACCAACCCAUGGUUUGAGGAACAGGUUAGUACUAGUCCGUACAAAGCAUCUUAGAUAAGUCCAGUGAUCGAUCAUAUAUUUUGACCCUAACUGCCUCAAAACUGGUGAAUCACGGUUUGUAUUGCUUGGUACCGGUUGGUAUCAAGUUCGACAAAGACUGGACAAAUUAGUUGGGAGCAAUACUAGCUAUCUGAUAAAACCCCUUGGCAUAUUUUUUUGUUGUCGCUUUUGAACGCAAAGGAAAGAGGAAGAAACAAAAGAAGAAGAGGAAGAGGACUCAUAUCUAGCCUCCUCAAAGCCGAAAUCCUCUAUAUAUCUCAACAAUCUCCUUUCUCACUUUUUUCUUUUGCCAUUGAAAAUGGCCAAACCUCAAAAAAAAGGGAAUACCAUGCCAAAAACCUCACCAAAUCCUAAACAAAAAACUUAAGCAACACCAAAUAGCAUCAAAACACAAAAAAAGAAAAAAGAAAGAAAAGAAGUCUUGAUACAAUAAUGUUGGGACACCACAUUGUAUCAUAUGUUAGAACCUCAGUGUUUCGAUAUUGUAUUGACUCGGUUCCUAACCAAUACUCACACCAGGUCCAAGUCAAACCGCAAACCAACUUUUGCCUAUGCAACUCAUCAAGCACUAGCUUCAUGUCAGUUACAUACAAUAAAAUCUACUAUACUACAAACACAGCAUUAUUUAGCUCCAAGAAUAGAUGAAUACAUAUUAAGCACCACAUCAUUAAAAGUACCCUAUAUAUGAUAAAAGGUUAACCAAAGGAUGCAUCAUCUGCUGGAAGCAAUCUUAGCAUCAAAACUGUGGAGAACAACUUAAGUAUAUGAACCAUCUCUUAGCCAGCAAGGACUCUGUUAAUCCUAUAGACAUAAUGCCACUACUUGAUCGAAAUAGUUGACUUUACACUAAUGGAUCUUCUCUAUUCAUGAGGUCAAGUCCUUUGAGAUGAGGGAAUUAUGAGAUGUUCCCUGUUGGAGUACUAGUUCAAUGCCCCACUCCUAGGUGACCAACCACUUUCAAUAAGCAAGUACACCAAUAACUUCUUAUUAUGAUCAUCCCUCCUUCAAUUAAACCCACAACACAUGAGUGGCAAUCUGGCCCCUACAAGUAAUACUAGGCUGAAGGAAGAACAAUGUUGACUAUCAAAGCACUCUAAACUUCAUAACAACACUCUUGGAAGUAAAGUUUGAAGGCAAAAGACAACCUCCACAUUACCAACUGGUCUCAUAUCCCAACACCUUUAAAUAGGAAAACUUUUUGUCUAAUACCUCACUUCUUGCUUAGGGGCAAAUGAAUGCAUGUAUGCAAUCUUUAGUCCAGUCAUCCUGACCACCACAUGAAAAGUACCAGAUAUUGGAAGAAGGAAUUAUCACCAUGACAAGUCGUUUUCCAUUUCUAAC